UGGGGAAUAUUGCACAAUGGAGGGAACUCUGAUGCAGCGACGCCGCGUGAACGAAGAAGGCUUUCGAGUCGUAAAGUUCUUUUAUAUGGGAAGAUAAUGACGGUACCAUAAGAAAAAGCCCCGGCUAACUACGUGCCAGCAGCCGCGGUAAUACGUAGGGGGCUAGCGUUGUCCGGAAUCACUGGGCGUAAAGGGUUCGCAGGCGGAAAUGCAAGUCAGGUGUAAAAGGCAGUAGCUUAACUACUGUAAGCAUUUGAAACUGCAUAUCUUGAGAAGAGUAGAGGUAAGUGGAAUUUUUAGUGUAGCGGUGAAAUGCGUAGAUAUUAAAAAGAAUACCGGUGGCGAAGGCGACUUUCUGGACGAAAACUGACGCUGAGGCGCGAAAGCGUGGGGAGCAAACAGG
rnacentral:rRNA from 1 species